GCAAAAAUAAAAAGGCAGUUCUAGCAUAUCUAGUGGUACAUGUGAAUCAAAUGGACCUAACAACCUAAAGGUUAUGUUAGUUUGCAGUGAUCAUCAGUCGUAUGUCACAAGUUGCGUGAUCAGAUCGCAAGUCGUAAGUUUUGUUUGUUUUGAUGUCGCAAGACUGAUUGUCACUUCCAAAUCAUUUGAUACUUCGGCCUCUGAUACGCCGAGACAUGAUUUUAGUCAGCCUUGCAUUGCUAAGCUAAACUGUGUUGCUUUGAGGCACAGAAAACCAUUACCUUUUUUUAUCAACUCUUGGUACAUUCGGUACUGCAUAUGUGGACUGGCGUCUCAACAUAUCCGGGUCAGUUCACUCGAUGACUGUUUUAUCAUAUUCAGUAGUUUUGUUUUUCUUUUACUAAUAUUGUAUUCAGUAGUUUAAAUGUUGACCUCAUUGAAGUAAAUUCUGACCCCAACAGUUAGAGCCGGCCUUGGAAGAAAGCUAGUGAAGCGUAUGCUUCCGGCUAUCAAAUAUUAUGAUUUUAAACGGCCACAUAUGGAUAGAAAGUUCUCAGUACCAUAGUGGUUAGCUUGAUGUUAUAAUUGUUACUGGUCAUGGGUUUGAAUGACUCUGGCCACAAUUUUAUAUUGGCUUCUAGCCACAUAAUUACUAGAACCGGCUCUGCCAACAGUCAGCAAGUUCCUGCUUUCUUAAACAUCAUCUUCGUUCUUAGUAUUUUGCUUGCUCUAAGGGAAGAAAAAUACUAAUUAUGGUGGAGUUAAUGUGUUACGUUUUUACGCAUUUUAACAGUUUUUGCAACUUUUCAUGUUGUAUCGAAUCUUUUAGUAUUUAUUGAGGUCACAACAGGUAAAUGAAGAAAUACAUGAAGACAUGAGCUUUUGGAGCAAAAUGUUGCAUCGAGGUUGCAUAUCAUACAAAGAUUAAUCGAUUCCAAGUUUUGAACAAUCAAUCUAUGUAAGCCAAGCAGAGGAGAGCACUCGUUCCAUGACAAUUUGCUGAAACAAAGAAGAAAAGGUAUGGAGAUGCAUAUGUGAUAUGCCACCUUUGAUCCGACGCUUCUGGUUUGUACUCUGGAAACGAUCAUAGGCACAUUAAACGAUCAUAGGUGAUUUUGUAUUUCAUAAAACUUUUAUAAAUGUGCCGAUUUGUAUGUACACCAAUAAAAAAAAUUGUGUUUCUUUACCAAUAAACGUUCUUAGUUGAAUUUUGAAGUGAUUUUGUAAGAUUAAGCAUUCUAUUCUCUAAAAGCGGUUUUGUUCAAUUGUUUUAAAACUUUUUUUUUCUGAACAUGUAAUAAAUAAUUGAAGAUCUUUAUUUGUAUUUUAUGUCUGGUUUAGGUACUAAUCUUUACGCCUAUAUGCAUUCUACGUUCUUUAAUCUAAAAGCUUAUUGAAUAGGUUGUAAAAAACAAGAAUUGUAUACGUGACUUUGUCUAUGUAAACUUGGUAUUCAAAACUGGUUGACCAAACCGUUUGAUAAAUAUAUGGAUAUUUGCUGACAAGAAAAAAGACCAAGGACCAUAAUUAACAAAACCCUCUAGGGCACGAUUAUCGUUCGUCCCAAAGCCCGUCCUUAUUAAUAUUGGGUCGAGAAAUAAAUCAAAAAGACCGAAUAACAUUGUAAACGGACCUUAAUUUAGGACGUUGGGCUUCGUCCUUACGAGGGACGUGGCAGCAUUCAAUUGGGAGUCGAAAUAGGGUUGGGAAAGUCGCACCGUGUCUUUUUUUUUCACCCUUCUCCUGAUUCUCUCUUCUCCGCGGCGAUAGUUUUGGCGAUAGCCUCUCCAGAGAUUUCAAAGACGAAUCGACAUCCCCAAUCGAUUUGCUGCCUCAUCGACGCUUCUCCGCCGAUUCAAACCCAAACGAGGUAUGUGUUCCUCCUUCUUCAUCGGAUUUAGAUGAUUUUGUUGUCAUUGACGAUUUGUAUCCUCCGUUUCUGGGAUCCGUCAUGGCGAAAGCUCCUCCGGAGAUUUCAAGGACGAAUCGACAUCCCCAAUCGAUCUGCUGCCUCAUCGACGCUUCUCCGGCGAUUCAAACCUAAACGAGGUUAAGUUAUCCAUGGGACUUGAUUACAGCUAUACUCAGCCUUCUGAUUCAGAGGAGUACGGUGGCAACACAGCUGACAGUGGGUACAGCGAAACAGAAGAUCUAAUUCGUCAGGACUAAGCUGAGAUUGACACCCAGCGAGCGCCGGUUCAGUACCCUCCUCAACCCGAAGUUGAGUUCGGCUUCCCUCAAACAUGCUAUUGCGGUGCUCGUCCACUUCUAGCAACAUCUCAAAGUAGAAACGAUCCAGGUAGAUUGUACUAUACGUGUGCAAAUGUUGCUGAUGGAGAUUGCCAUGUCUGGAAAUGGUGGGAUGUGGCUGUAAUGGAGGAGAUGAGAGCCAGGGAUACUCACACACUUCAGUUGGCUGAGAAGGUUGAUUAUCUUGCCGGUAUGAGCGACUACCGGACAGAGCUUAACAAGAUUAAGGAUCUCCAAUACGAGACUGAGCAGAAAAUGGUAAGGGUAGAAAAGCUAGUGUCUGAGUUAGGUAAUAAGAAAUCAACGUCUACCAAUGGCUUUGGCUUUGAAUAUUUUGUAGGUGUAAUCGUUAUUGUGUUAGUUUUAAUAGGUACGUGGCUCAUGGUUUAGUUAAUCAUGGUCUCCUUUCUAUUACAUGACUUUGUAAUGUGCUUUAUUUGCUUCGAAUGAAUGAGUUAUGUGUAAUGACUUUGUAAUGAACAUGACCGUGUGAUGACUUUGUAAUGUGAUGACUUUGUGAUGAACAUGACCGUGUAAUGUGUUAGUUUGUGAUGUGAUGACUUUGUAAUGACCAAAUAAGUGUACCGA